rnacentral:tRNA from 1 species
GCAGCGGUAGCUCACUGGUAGAGUUCUCACCUUCUAUGUGGGAGACCUGGGUUCGAUUCCCGGCCAGUGCA